GGAUCACAACCUACGAGCUGGGGUGCUGAGUCCCCUGAUCAAAACCUCCUGGCUCCGCUGACUCCUCCCCUACAACAUCAAUUAUAAAUCACGAACUAAAUUAUUUAAUAUUAAAAUAUUCUGAACCAUAAUUCAUAUCUACUAUGCAGUCCAUCACCAGAUCCCCAAACAUCUCAAUCCCUCCAAAUCUAGGGCAGUCGGGGUGGCCCGACUCCCACCCUUGUACCACCGGCCUAUGUCGUCUCCAGCCAUGGCCGUCGCCAUGCCGGCGACGGUGGCCGGUCCCGGUGAAAGGACCAAAAGAAGGAAAGAUCCCUCUCUCUUCAUGGUUGGGAGUACACCUCCCCUCCUUCAUUUUCUUUGGUCCAAGGGCAGCAGCCGCCACCUGCCCAACCCUCGGCCACCACUGGUCAGACCGUCGCCGGCCGCCACUGUUGCUGUCCCCGACGAUGGUGGCCGACCAAGAGAGGAAGAGAAGAAGAAUUUUCUUCUCCUUUUUCUUCUUCUUCCCCCAAACCAACACUGCCCCCUCCCCUUCCUCCAUUGUCAAUCGAAGUCCUCCCCUCUUCUUCUCCCUUCAUCAGCCGAAGGCCGUCCUCAUGGUGGCUCGGCCUCUUCCCCCCACCCGACGGCAACCCAAGCAGCCCCCCCCCCACCGACCACCGUCGUCGUCGCCGGUGGCCAACCGACGAUAGGAAGAGAAGGGGAGGACGGGAUCACGAGGAAGGGAACCUCGGAUCCACCAUCCCCCAUCACAUACAAAGCCUAGAAACCCUCUCCGAUCCUCACACAAACCCGACCAACCCCCAACGCCAUGGAUCCCGGCCAACCGGCAGUCGGCGGCGGCGAAAUCCGAAAGAAAGGGGCCGAAACAGGGGUACCCUGUUUCGGAUCCCUCUCCGACGGCUUCACCGGCCAAAACUCCACCAACACUACCCAAAAACCAAUCAAUGAAGCACAAGGGCUUACCUCGGUCCGGCGGGAUGCUCCGGCGGCCCUUCCGGCGAGAAAUCGAUGGAGAAAUUCGUGAGUAAACCCACGGAUCCGAGGCCUCUUCAUGCAUUUGGUGGGGAUCCUCCUCCUUGACCCGCCGGCUUGCGAAAUCCGCCGCCUUCCCCCACGAUCGCCCUCUUCUCCGGCGGUCAAGCUCCCCCGACGACCAGCCUCCUC
rnacentral:lncRNA from 1 species